UGAAGAAAAAUGCCAGCUCUGCUUUUUGGAACCUCCCAUUGGAACUAGAAUCCCACAGUCUCAGCUCCAAGAGAGUAGUGUGCUUACUCAUGCAAUAAUUUGAGGGCCUAGUCUGUGAUGAAACUGACUAUGAAUCAGAUACAGCCUCUAUCAUCAAAGGGCUUACAGUCCGGUUAGAGAUCUGAACUCUAAUCCACUUUUUUAAAGGAUGAUAACUCUUAAGUCUAGAGAAGUUGUGCCUUGCUCCAGGUCACGCAGCUAAAUAGCACCAGAGGUGAAACCAUAAGCUAUGUCUUUCUACAACUCUCAGUUCAGAGCUCUUUCCAAUGGGCCACCCACUCUUGUGAGCACAUCUCAGCUUCUAUUGGGGACACCACCUAGUUUCAUGACCUUCCCUUCUUUGCACCCACCGCCAAACCGCUCCCAAACCUGAAGCCUAGGGUUUAGAAACGAAAACGGUAAGCCCUUAAGAAAAAGCCACACGCUGCGCGUUUUGGACCUCCCCUGCAAGAAAAGAAAGCGUUACUCUUUACAUUCUGCGGUAACUCUUCCAGCAAGGUUGAGGCCAUAAAAAAAAAAAAAAAAAAAAAAAAAGGCAAAGUGGUCUUACUCAGGACCGAAAGGGUGGAGUCCCCGCCCCCUGAUGCAGCUUGCAGCAGCGGCACCGAAGACAGAUGGGGAGCCACCUGUCAGAGGGCUGUGGGCGGGUCCGGGGCCGGGAAGGCCGGGAGACCGGAGGGUGUGCGGCUGAGCGCACGCUCAGAGCCGACAGCUUGCAGAAGAUGGGAGGUGACCGUCUAAAACUCUGGGAGCUGCCGGCCAGAGGGAGGGAAAGGUAGUCACGGAACCGAGGCAGAAUUACGGGAGGGAGAGGAUCCUGCAAGGAGGGACGGCUAAAGCAGGCGGCUGAAGCGGGCCCGGCGGCUUUAGCCAUUGGGCCGGAGGGUAACGCGGCGGCGCUGCGGGCGGGGCCUGCGGGGCGGGCGAUGCUAUGUCUCGCGAGCGGCCCCCCCGCACGGACAUCCCCCGCAACCUGAGCUUCAUCGCCUCGCUAACGGAGCGAGCCUACUACCGCAGCCAGCGGCCCAGCCUGGAGGAGGAGCCGGAGGAGGAGCCAGGAGAGGGCGGGACUCGCCUCGGGGCCCGAUCCCGCGCUCAGGCUUCGAGUCGGGGCCGCAGGGCUCGCUCGGCACCCGCCGGAGGCGGCGGGGCCCGGGCGUCCCGGAGCCGCAGCCCCGACACCCGCAAGAGAGUGCGUUUCGCCGACGCGCUGGGGCUCGAGCUGGCCGCCGUGCGCCGCUUCCGCCCGGGAGAGCUGCCCCGGGUGCCCCGCCACGUGCAUGUCCAGCUGCAGAGGGACGCCCUCCGCCACUUCGCGCCGUGUCAGCCCCGCGCCCGCGGCCUUCAGGAGGCGCGCGCCGCCCUGGAGCCCGCCCGCGAACCCGGCUUCGCCGCCCGUUUGCAGGCGCAGCGCAUCUGCCUGGAGCGCGCCGAGGCGGGGCCCCUGGGCGUGGCGGGGAGCGCGCGGGUGCUGGACCUGGCCUACGAGAAGCGCGUGAGCGUGCGCUGGAGCGCCGACGGCUGGCGGAGCCACCGCGAGGCGCCCGCCUCCUACACCGGCCCGGCCCCGCCCCCUCCGCGCGCCGACCGCUUCGCUUUCCGCCUGCCCGCGCCUCCCCUCGGGGGCGCCCUGCUUUUCGCCCUGCGCUACCGCGUGACGGGCCACGAGUUCUGGGACAACAACGGCGGCCGUGACUAUGCUCUACGUGGGCCCGAGCACCCCGGCAGCGGUGGAACCCCGGAGCCUCAGGGCUGGAUCCACUUUAUUUGAGACGCCUGCGGCCGACUGCGAAGAAGGGGUGGAAAACCUACUUUUUCUCCAAGACCAUGGUUGACCCACCUUCCUCCCUCAGGCUCUUUCUUGACAGUCUUCUAGAAGGGAGAAGAGUGAAAAGAAGCAGUUCCUGAUGCAGAUGAACAAGGAGCUCCCAGUCUCCUGAACUGGCUUGGAGAAGGCAAAGCACUGAGGGUCCCACAUUUCAUCUCCUUCCAGGAGCAUGCUGCUGUCUCCUAUGCUAGUGUCCCAGCUCUGCGGGAUCAGCAAGGGACUAACCCACCUGCCUGCUAGAGAACUUGGAAUCCAUUUGAACCCAUGCCAUGGGAUUCUCCCCUGAUCCUAGCCAACCCUCCAUACCUGUUGGUGUGCCACACCCUUUUACACUCCUACCACUAGCUUUGAACAGGCCAGUUGCCUAAACUUGCUGCUAGAAGGAUCCCUGAUGAAGACAUUGCUGGAUGUUCUGUGUGCUUGGGCCCUCUCUCAGAGUCCUGGUAUUAGUGGAUAAAUGCAAGCUGGUUGGGCGCAGGGAACCAAGGGUAAUCCAUUGUUUGUAAGAAGUUACUGGCCCCAUUCUCAGCUUUAUAGACCCAGCACACUAGUCUUCAGGUUCUUCCCAUAUAGAGCUGCCCCAGGGCCUGGGGGUAAGCUGCUACGACUCAGGAAACACUAUGAGUGUUAGGCAUUGUGGUGGGGACUUUCCUCUAAAGCAGCGGUUCUCAACCUGUGGGUCGCGAACAAUGAAAACACAUCCUGCAUAUCAGAUAUUUACAUUACGAUUCAUAACAGUAGCAACAUUACAGUUAUGAAGUAGCAACGAAAAUAAUUUUAUGGUUGGGGGUCACCACAACAUGAGGAACUGUAUUAAAGGGUCGCGUCAUUAGGAAGGUUGAGAACCACCGCAAGGUUGAUGACUAUGUGAACAGGAGCAAUUUACAGUAUAAUAUAUCAGCCGUGGACUAGAAAGUGCCAGAAGAGAAACUAUUACCAAAGUCAGGGGCUUGGGUCCUUGAAGCAACACAGCAGGAACACUGUUGCCUUUUUCUCUCAUCCAGACGUCAGAUGUCUCAUAGCCUUCCUUCUUUAUCGUUACGAAUGUAGGUCAUCAUUUCUCUUCAUAAUAAGCCCUAAUUCCUCAGCUUUCCAAUCUAACUCCCACAUUCCUUGCUUCUAACUCCUGUGUUUCUCUGGAGCUCCUCUGGAUCCUUGUAUUCCAUGGGUCAUAGAAUCAGAGUCCUGUGAAAAAAGGCUUGUCUUUAGAGAUCAUUGGGUCCUGGCUCCUAUACAGAUGGGGACAUGGGUCCAGAGAUGAAAAGUGACUCCCGCAGGGUCAAAGAAUUUUUUUUUUUUUUUAGUACAGCUCAAGAUGGGGCUUAAACCCAGGCCUCUUGACUACAUCCUAUUCCCAGGCUUUGAAACAGGCUUCUGCACAAUCAGACCCACAGUUUUUCAUGGCAAGGGAUAUCAGAAAUGUUUCAUUUUCUGCUACUAGUUUCCAUUCUCUUCCCCAUCCAGGCAUAAAGAGAAACAAGAGGAACUGAUAGUUUUCUCUGUGUCCCCAUCUGUGGCACUUCUUUUGCUGAUAUCACUAAAGUUGCUACAAAGAUUGCAUAAUCUACCCAUUGAGUAGCUAACCUGGAUAGGAAAGGAAAGUUUGCCCUGUGAAUUCACCACAAACUACUGUUCUCAUCGGGCCCAGCGUCUUCCCAGCCCUUCAUAGUGCAGCCCUCGUCACUGGGCCCCAAACCCACUAGUAUUGUGCCUCACUGCAGCUUCCUCCUGCACCAGCUCUCCCUCUGGAUAAAAGACCUCAUGUUUGAAAUAAAGUUGAAAUAUGAAAAGAAUAUAUCAUCAGA